rnacentral:rRNA from 1 species
AGAGUUUGAUCCUGGCUCAGAACGAACGCUGGCGGCAGGCUUAACACAUGCAAGUCGAACGCCCUCUUUUAGAGGGAGUGGCAGACGGGUGAGUAACGCGUGGGAAUCUACCUAGUGGUACGGAACAACACAGAGAAAUUUGUGCUAAUACCGUAUACGCCCCGAGGGGGAAAGAUUUAUCGCCAUUAGAUGGGCCCGCGUUUGAUUAGCUAGUUGGUGAGGUAAUGGCUCACCAAGGCGACGAUCAAUAGCUGGUCUGAGAGGAUGAUCAGCCACACUGGGACUGAGACACGGCCCAGACUCCUACGGGAGGCAGCAGUGGGGAAUAUUGGACAAUGGGCGCAAGCCUGAUCCAGCUAUGCCGCGUGUGUGAUGAAGGCCUUAGGGUUGUAAAGCACUUUCA